CACGUCUGCUCCUCUUAAAAAAAAUUAGCUGGAUCUCAGUGAGCUCGGUUCCACUCGGCGUGAUAAGUAUCACUCGCUGAGGACACCCCUAAAAAAGGUGGCCGGGAUUUGCAGAUGAACCGCUUCUAAUAGUCUAUUAAAUUGGACAACAUACUUUAUGAUCUGAUCUCAAAUCAGGUAGGACUACCCGCUGAACUUAA
rnacentral:misc_RNA from 1 species